GUGAGGAAUUUUCCGCAAUGGGCGAAAGCCUGACGGAGCAAUGCCGCGUGAAGGAUGAAGGCCUAUGGGUUGUAAACUUCUUUUCUCAGAAAAGAAUUAUGACGGUAUCUGAGGAAUAAGCAUCGGCUAACUCUGUGCCAGCAGCCGCGGUAAGACAGAGGAUGCAAGCGUUAUCCGCAAUGAUUGGGCGUAAAGCGUCUGUAGGUUGUUUAAAAAGUAUUCUGUCAAAGAUUAGGGCUUAACCCUAGAUAGGCAGAAUAAACUUUUAAGCUAGAGUUUGGUAGAGGCAGAGGGAAUUCCCGGUGGAGCGGUGAAAUGCGUAGAUAUCGGGAGGAACACCAAAGGCGAAGGCACUCUGCUGGGCCAAUACUAACACUGAGAGACGAAAGCGAGGGGAGCAAAUGGGAUUAGAAACCCUAGUAGUCC
rnacentral:rRNA from 1 species